UCCCUUAUGGCUUAGCUGGUAAAGAAUUCACUUGCAAUGUGGGAGACCCAGGUUUGAUCCCUGGGUUGGGAA
rnacentral:tRNA from 1 species